rnacentral:lncRNA from 1 species
CAAGGUCCUUGCUUUUGUGGAGCUUGCACUGAAGUAGAGGAGACAGAUACUAACCAAGUAAACGAAAAUAAUUUUAGGUAAUAAUUUCAAUGAAAAAUAACACCGUAAUGGAAUAGAAAUAGGGCAUGAGGGGAAGAGAACAGUGCCAGGAAAGGCCUUAGAGAAGCUGGCAUGUGACCUGAAGCCCAGAUGAGAAGGAGCCAGCCAGACCAAGGGCUGGGGGAAGAGUGGUCCAGGCAGAGCGAAGAGCAAGUGCAGCAGCCCUGGGGUCUGCAUCCAAGAGGAGAGGAUGUGCCCCAUCGAAAGGGAACAGCUGCCACCCAGCUCCAGUCAACUGUUUCCAUGCAGGAAUGUGGGGCCAAUGCUGUAAGAUCUCCUGAUUUGUCUACAGAAACUGGAAAUCCAGAUUUUUUUGUGCGAUCUCCUCUUUAAAUGUUUGCAAAUGAUUUAAUAAAAAAUAUCGCUGAGCUGCCAAG